rnacentral:snRNA from 1 species
AGUUUUGUGCAGUGGCAGUAUCAUAGCCAAUGAGGUUUAUCUGAGGUGCAAUUCUUGCUAAUUGAAAAAUUUUCCCAAUAUCCCACCGUGAUGACUUGAAAUAUAGUCAGCAUUGGCAAUAUUUGAGUCUCUAUGGGA